UGGGGAAUUUUGGACAAUGGGCGCAAGCCUGAUCCAGCAAUGCCGCGUGCAGGAUGAAGGCCUUCGGGUUGUAAACUGCUUUUGUACGGAACGAAACGGCUCUGGUUAAUACCUGGGGCUAAUGACGGUACCGUAAGAAUAAGCACCGGCUAACUACGUGCCAGCAGCCGCGGUAAUACGUAGGGUGCGAGCGUUAAUCGGAAUUACUGGGCGUAAAGCGCGCGCAGGCGGUGAUGUAAGACAGAUGUGAAAUCCCCGGGCUCAACCUGGGACCUGCAUUUGUGACUGCUAAGCUAGAGUACGGCAGAGGGGGGUGGAAUUCCACGUGUAGCAGUGAAAUGCGUAGAGAUGUGGAGGAACACCAAUGGCGAAGGCAGCCCCCUGGACCUGUACUGACGCUCAUGCACGAAAGCGUGGGGAGCAAACA
rnacentral:rRNA from 1 species